rnacentral:rRNA from 1 species
UAGGGAAUCUUCCGCAAUGGGCGAAAGCCUGACGGAGCAACGCCGCGUGAGUGAUGAAGGUCUUCGGAUCGUAAAACUCUGUUAUUAGGGAAUAACAAAUGUUUAAGUAACUAUGCACGUCUUGACGGUACCUAAUCAGAAAGCCACGGCUAACUACGUGCCAGCAGCCGCGGUAAUACGUAGGUGGCAAGCGUUAUCCGGAAUUAUUGGGCGUAAAGCGCGCGUAGGCGGUUUUUUAAGUCUGAUGUGAAAGCCCACGGCUCAACCGUGGAGGGUAAUUGGAAACUGGAAAACUUGAGGGCAGAAGAGGAAAGUGGAAUUACAUGUGUAGCGGUGAAAUGCGCAGAGAUAUGGAGGAACAACAGGGGCGAAGGCGACUUUCUGGUCUGUAACAGAAGCUGAUGUGCGAAAGCGUGGGGAUCAAACAGG